rnacentral:lncRNA from 1 species
UGAUAUUAUUAUUUUACUAUAAAUGAUCCAAGUGUUAGAUAAAUCAUUAGGAUAAAUGUGUUUAUUCUUCUAAAAUCAUUAAUUUUCUUUCAUUUCUCAAUUAACAUUGCUUUACAAAAUAUCAAAAUAUAAUGAUUACUUGGGUUAAAAACAUUUAUCCCAAAAAGGAAUUUCACAUUAUCCCAACAAAAUUGUAUCAUCUAUACCUACCUGAGAUAAGUGAUGUAGGCUAAAGUGCUCC